rnacentral:tRNA from 1 species
GGGUGAUUAGCUCAGCUGGGAGAGCACCUCCCUUACAAGGAGGGGGUCGGCGGUUCGAUCCCGUCAUCGCAGU